AAGGUUUAGUGUAUGUGUUCUGCUGUGAGUGAUUCAGAGACACUGAUAUUUACUGUACUCUCGACACAGCCUUAAACGAGAAGGCUUUAUGGAACUGUUUGUAUAGCCAGCGAAGACGAAGAAGAAGGAAGAAGAAGUGUGAUGUAAACAUAUAUUACUAGUGACGUAUAUUUGAUCGCGUUAUACCCAACGUACGACCAUUCGUAUACGACUAAUCCACGACCAGUAUACGACUAAUCCACGACCAGUAUACGACUAACACAAGCUCCACAGACUAGGUCAACAAGAUGGGUUCGUUCAUGGGCCACGUGUUGCCAGGCCCGUUCUUCUGCCUCUUUCCGGUGUGGUGGAUUUACAACAUCUUCAGGAGGUUCCACCUGUGCCGGAGGACACUCACAGUAGGGGAGGGAGGCAGCUCCACCACCUACCGCAACACCUGCACCUUCACCUGCUCCUGCUGCCCCUCCCUCCCUAGAAGGUUUCAUCAAGGUGGUUUCCGUCAUCAUCGGUAUGACGGGUGAGCGUAAAAGCUGAUGUACUUAUUCAUUUACUUAAUCAUCUAUUUAAUUAUUCACUAUUCAACUAUCCUUAUUUUAGAGUAUCAAGCCUGUGUAACCUGAUCUUCUUUUCGUUACGCCUUUCCAUUCUAAAUAUAGGCUUCAAUUCCAUUUAUCCUGAUCUUCAUUUGUUUGUAUAACACUUUUCAGUACGAUACCUCCUUAUACAAAAACCCUAUAAUAA